rnacentral:rRNA from 1 species
UACGGAGGGUGCAAGCGUUAUCCGGAUUCACUGGGUUUAAAGGGUGCGUAGGAGGGCAGGUAAGUCAGUGGUGAAAUCUCCGGGCUUAACCCGGAAACUGCCAUUGAUACUAUAUGUCUUGAAUACCAUGGAGGUGAGCGGAAUAUGUCAUGUAGCGGUGAAAUGCUUAGAUAUGACAUAGAACACCAAUUGCGAAGGCAGCUCACUACGCGGUUAUUGACACUGAGGCACGAAAGCGUGGGGAUCAAACAGG